ensembl:lncRNA
CAGAAAUUGAACAUUUUAAGGCAGUAAUUCACCUCAAAGAAACUCCUUUGUAAUAGCUGAUCUGUUCUGUCAGAUAACUGCAAGGUUCUUUAGGACAAUGAUGACCUCAGUGGAAGACUUUCAAGCAGUCUUGCGUCUUCUGUAGGGCAGGAACCUUGCAAAGCACUUAGCUCAUCCUGAAUCAGGACCUAAGCCUGGAAGGAGGCAAAUCCUGCAGGCUGCUAGGGUGAGGGAAACUGAAAAUGACCUCUUGCUGUCAGAUUUCACUCAUUCGUUUUAACCCAAGGUUUCCCCAAGGCUGCAGAACAAAUUCCUUCUGUGCAGGAAGUGCUCGUGCUAAUCCAGAGGUUCAAAGCCUGUAUGAGGAAAUAUAAUGCUUCCUCCAGGGACUUUUCAGAGGAGAGUGGUUGACCACAAGAAAAUAAAAUCUCCUGCAGCUGAUCGUAAGCCUGUGUGAGAGGGCUGCUGAGGAGUCACCUAGGAAUGAGUGCAAUUCCUGUUUAUGAGUCAGCAGGGAAGGAGCAGCCCAAGUCAGAUUUUGGGAGAUGCCUGCGCUGUCUGCCUCUUUUCAGACCAUGGGAACACUGCAAGGAAAAUAAUGAGGAGAUAUGAGGUUAAGGAAUGUGGGAAUUCAAGGUUCUAUAGACCAUGCUUAUGGAUGGAUUGAUGUAGCUGCCUGCUAGGCAUGACAACACCUGCAGCAAGCAGAGAUGUGAGCUCUGAUCCAGCAUUGCUGCGUCAUGUUAAGUGAAUCUGAAUUCAAGAAUUUUGAAUUUUCCCAGACAAGUGUUAGAUCAAACCUACAGUCUCAUUCCACUAAGAGAACAUCAGUUCAUUUGUAUCUCCACUGGAUUUAAAGGACUUUCUUCUAAGCAUCUGUACCCUUCCCAACACAAAGCUAAGGACUGAGGCUUCAAGUGGAACUCAAGUUCUUUAAAAAAAAAAAAAAAAAAAGAUUCAAUCCAUCUGGAUGUGCUGACUUCAUUGUGGAUCUCUUCUGAACUGGUAUAUUUCCCUAGAAUCAGCUGGACACCUGCUUUCUAACCUGCUAAAACCUUCUGUUCUUAGAAGCUCCCCAUAAACUUUGACAUGAGUAGGUUGGACAAAGAAUUCAGUUCUUGACUGUUUGAGAAGUAUGGCAAUGUUAUUUAAGAAUGUUUUGACUUAUUUAUCAGCUUUGUCUUCUAACCUAUUGCCUCCUUUCAGACGAUUACCCUCUGUUGUUUUGUAUUAUUUCUCUUUCUGUCUGAUUUUUCUUAGUUUUGGUUUCAUCUCACCAUGGAUUGAAGAUCAAGGGAAAAUUAUUCUUCCACUUCGCUUUAAUGCAACAUGAACAAAGGUGUUAGAAUGUGAUUUUCAGAAAAUAAGUCAUAAUAGUUAUAAAUUUGUGACGUACCCGUUGGGAUUACACAGGCUGGUCAUGUGCUGGCUUGAAAUCUGGGCUGAAACUGUUACAGCUCAAUUGAAAUCAGCGUUGCAAAUGUAUUUACUCAGAGUGAGACCCAUGGAGUGCAAACACCCCAGGCCUAAUAGUGGACGGAAAAUAGAAAAAGCAACUCCUACUCAUUUACUAUGAUAAAUGAUCACCUCAAGAUCCUAAUGGCCGUGGUGUUCUAUCAACAUGUUCAGCUCCUAUCCAACAUCAGGUGGGGUGGUGGUGGCGGAUGAGUGCAGAGCUCAAAUUAUGCUCUGAUCUUGGCAGGUCCUGGAUAAUUUAACGAGCUUGAUUAGAUGCUAAAUAAAUAUUGGUUUUGCAAUUUGCUCACCAGUUUUGCUCUUGGAUAAAAGAGGCUACAAAUACUGUUGCACUGGCAACAGGAACAAACAAUUUAAAAGAUCCGUUCAGACUGUGAUGAAAGCGUUUGAAGAAGAAAAUUUUGGUGGAAUCAUGUUUUGCUCUAAUGAAAACCCUCUGUUCUGCAGUAACUGAAGAAAAUCAGCAAACUCUACUCCUCAUGACUUGAAUUUAAUUGUCAAUUUAAAGGUGAAGCAGUUUUGUGAAAGGAGGAAGUCCCUCAACAGACCCUAUGUAACAGGAUAAGAGCUAAGAUGAGCUCACUUGUUUCAAUGUCAUAUUCUUUGGUUUUGAUAAAGUUUUCAUAGAUGAAGAUAUCUGGCUACACGCACAUAGUUUAAUAUAAUAUAGUUAUAUUUACUUCCAAUUUUUGCCAGUGAGGGACUAUUCUUGUAGUGCUCACUUCCUUUGUCUUCACUGUAUGCAUAUGUAUUUUUGCAGUGAAAUAAAUGUAUGUACA